AUUGAACGCUGGCGGCAUGCCUUACACAUGCAAGUCGAACGGCAGCGGGGACUUCGGUCCGCCGGCGAGUGGCGAACGGGUGAGUAACGUAUCGGAACGUACCUUUCAGUGGGGGAUAACGUAGCGAAAGUUACGCUAAUACCGCAUAUUCUGUGAGCAGGAAAGCAGGGGAUCGCAAGACCUUGCGCUGAUUGAGCGGCCGAUAUCAGAUUAGCUAGUUGGUGAGGUAAAGGCUCACCAAGGCGACGAUCUGUAGCGGGUCUGAGAGGAUGAUCCGCCACACUGGAACUGAGACACGGUCCAGACUCCUACGGGAGGCAGCAGUGGGGAAUUUUGGACAAUGGGGGCAACCCUGAUCCAGCCAUGCCGCGUGAGUGAAGAAGGCCU
rnacentral:rRNA from 1 species